rnacentral:hammerhead_ribozyme from 1 species
AUCCAGUUGACGAGUCCCGGAAAGAACGAAGCGCACGUCCUGGAU